GACGAACGCUGGCGGCGUGCCUAAUACAUGCAAGACGAGCGAACAGAUGGGAGCUUGCUUCCUGAAGUUAGCGGCGGACGGGUGAGUAACACGUGGGUAACCUUCCUAUAAGACUGGGAUAACUACGGGAAACCGGAGCUAAUACUGGAUAGUUCUUCCCUCCUCAUGGAGGGAAGGGGAAAGAUGGUUUCGGCUAUCACUUAUAGAUGGGCCCGCGGCGCAUUAGCUAGUUGGUAAGGUAACGGCUUACCAAGGCGACGAUGCGUAGCCGACCUGAGAGGGUGAUCGGCCACACUGGGACUGAGACACGGCCCAGACUCCUACGGGAGGCAGCAGUAGGGAAUCUUCCGAAAUGGACGAAAGUCUGACGGAGCAACGCCGCGUGAACGAAGAAGGUCUUCGGGUCGUAAAGUUCUGUUGUUAGGGAAGAACAAGUGUGGGAGUAACUGCCCGCACCUUGACGGUACCUAACCAGAAAGCCACGGCUAACUACGUGCCAGCCGCCGCGGUAAGAC
rnacentral:rRNA from 1 species